CACCUCGGCCUCCCGAAGUGCUGGGAUUUCAGGCGUGAGCCACCGCGCCGGGCCCACGGAUGGAUUCUUAAGCAGUUGCCAUACAAUGUGCUGUGCAAUCAUUGCACACCCUCAAUGACCAGAUUUCCCAUUUUAUUGUCACCAAGUCGAAGGCACUGGAGGAGGACAAAGACCCUUUUCUACCCACUGAGAAGGAGACUCUGAAGAGUUCCAUGAUAUUGAUGAGGCACCUCUUAAUGGAUGCUCAGGUUUCAUGCAAAAUAAGACUCACACCACAUUGGACAGGCAGACCUGUAAACAAUUACCAUCCCUUUGUGGAUGAUUUUCAAUAUGUUUUAGACUCAGUGCUUGACCUUCACAACUAUAUUCGAAAGAUUCCCUUCUUGCUCAUCAAGCUUCUCGGCCUAAGGUCAUAUUUCUUCAGAAUUUUGAAUCAUAAAGCACAGUGAAGUGUUCAUCACAUAAGGUAAUAGCUAUUUCUUCUUAAGUCAUUUUAUCUGAGUUAAUGGCUACUAAUGGGUUAAUAUAUAAUUGUCCAUAGGACUAUUUGCAUUUUGAAAUAAGACUCAUGGAGAAAAGAGAAACUGAGUUAGAGGGAGGAGAUAUUCGGGCUUUUGGCAGGUGGCAGCCUUGUCCUUUCAGGUAAAAUCCAAGGAGAGGCCUUGGUGGCAAUUUGUUCUUUCUUCUUUCCUUUCCAG
rnacentral:lncRNA from 1 species